rnacentral:rRNA from 1 species
CAGUAGCCGCGGGAAAACGGAAGGUCCAGGCGUUAUCCGGAUUUAUUGGGUUUAAAGGGAGUGUAGGCGGUCUGUUAAGCGUGUUGUGAAAUUUAGGUGCUCAACAUCUAACUUGCAGCGCGAACUGGCGGACUUGAGUGCACGCAACGUAUGCGGAAUUCAUGGUGUAGCGGUGAAAUGCUUAGAUAUCAUGACGAACUCCGAUUGCGAAGGCAGCGUACGGGAGUGUUACUGACGCUUAAGCUCGAAGGUGCGGGUAUCGAACAGGAUUAGAUACCCCAGUAGUCCCUGUCUCUUAUAC